CCUACGGGAGGCAGCAGUGAGGAAUAUUGGUCAAUGGCCGUAAGGCUGAACCAGCCAAGUCGCGUGAGGGACGACUGCCCUAUGCGUUGUAAACCUCUUUUAUGCGGGGAUAAAGUUGUCCACGUGUGGCUGUUUGCAGGUACCGCAUGAAUAAGGACCGGCUAAUUCCGUGCCAGCAGCCGCGGUAAUACGGAGGGUCCGGGCGUUAUCCGGAUUUAUUGGGUUUAAAGGGAGCGUAGGCCGGUCUUUAAGCGUGCCGUGAAAUUUUGGGGCUCAACCCUGAGAGUGCGGCGGAAACUGGAUGCCUUGAGAGGGCGGAAGGUAUGCGGAAGUCGCGGUGUAGCGGUGAAAUGCUUAGAUAUCACGAAGAACCCCGAUUGCGAAGGCAGCCUACCGGAGCGGUACUGACGCUGAGGCUCGAAAGCGCGGGUAUCGAACAGGAUUAGAUACCCUAGUAGUC
rnacentral:rRNA from 1 species